AGAGUUUGAUCCUGGCUCAGGAUGAACGCUGGCCGGCACGCUUAACACAUGCAAGUCGAACGAGGUCCAUGGAGCUUGCUCCGGAAGAUCUAGUGGCGAACGGGUGCGUAACACGUGAGAAAUCUGCCCCGGACUCUGGGAUAACAGUUGGAAACGACUGCUAAUACCGGAUGCCUUCAUUUCACCGCAUGGUGGUUUGAAGAAAGAUUUAUCGGUUUGGGAGGAUCUCGCGGCCUAUCAGCUUGUUGGAGAGGUAACGGCUCACCAAGGCAUCGACGGGUAGCUGGUCUGAGAGGAAGCCACACUGGAACUGAGACACGGUCCAGACUCCUACGGGAGGCAGCAGUGGGGAAUCUUGCACAAUGGGCGAAAGCCUGAUGCAGCGACGCCGCGUGGGGGAUGAAGGCCUUAGGGUCGUAAACCCCUUUCAGUAGGGAAGAAAAUGACGGUACCUACAGAAGAAGCUCCGGCCAACUACGUGCCAGCAGCCGCGGUAAGACGUAGGGGGCGAGCGUUGUCCGGAUUUAUUGGGCGUAAAGGGCUCGUAGGCGGUUACGUAAGUCGGAUGUGAAAACUCGAGGCUCAACUUCGAGACGCCAUCCGAUACUGCGUUGACUUGAGUCCGGUAGAGGAGUGUGGAAUUCCUAGUGUAGCGGUGAAAUGCGCAGAUAUUAGGAGGAACACCUAUUGCGAAGGCAGCACUCUGGGCCGGUACUGACGCUGAGGAGCGAAAGCAUGGGUAGCAAACAGGAUUAGAUACCCUGGUAGUCCAUGCCGUAAACGGUGGGCACUAGAUGUGGGGACUUUCAACGGUCUCUGCGUCGUAGCUAACGCAUUAAGUGCCCCGCCUGGGGAGUACGGCCGCAAGGCUAAAACUCAAAGGAAUUGACGGGGGCCCGCACAAGCAGCGGAGCAUGUUGCUUAAUUCGAGGCAACGCGAAGAACCU
rnacentral:rRNA from 1 species